CCCGAAAACCCUCACCAGGUCUUGACAAUGCUUCUGCAAAAGCUGUAGAAACACCAGUGGAGGUUAUCAGUUGCACAGGUGGUGCAUGGUUGUCGUCAGCUCGUGUCGUGAGAUGUUGGGUUAAGUCCCGCAACGAGCGCAACCCCUUAUUGUUAGUUACCAGCACGUAAUGGUGGGGACUUUAGCAAGACUGCCAGUGAUAAAUUGGAGGAAGGUGGGGACGACGUCAAAUCAUCAUGCCCCUUAUGACCUGGGCUACAAACGUGAUACAAUGGCUGUUACAAAGGGUAGCUGAAGCGCAAGUUUUUGGCGAAUCUCAAAAAAACAGUCUCAGUUCGGAUUGAAGUCUGCAACUCGACUUCAUGAAGUUGGAAUCGCUAGUAAUCGCGAAUCAGCAUGUCGCGGUGAAUACGUUCUCUGGGUUUGUACACACCGCGCGUCA
rnacentral:rRNA from 1 species